AAACUGAACCAGGCCUGAGGCCGCGGGCCCCGCCGCUCCCGCGCGCCCCCUCGCCGCGCGCCCCUUCGCCUUGCCCGCGCGGGGCCUCCAGCCUGAGCCAGGCUCCUCCGCAGAGCCCGGUGCCGCUUGACGAAGAUGGAUAGAAAUCAUCUGUCCUUAAACUUUAUGAAUCAAUUUUAUUUUUAAAAUAAAAUGUUAAACAUCUUU